rnacentral:rRNA from 1 species
GAGUUUGAUCCUGGCUCAGGAUAAACGCUGGUGGCGCACAUAAGACAUGCAAGUCGAACGGACUUAAUUCAUUCUUUUAGAUUGGAAGCGGUUAGUGGCGGACUGGUGAGUAACGCGUGAGCAACCUGCCUAUUAGAGGGGAAUAACAGUGAGAAAUCAUUGCUAAUACCGCAUAUGCUUACACUAUUGCAUGAUAGAGUAAGGAAAGGAGCAAUCCGCUAAUAGAUGGGCUCGCGUCUGAUUAGCUAGUUGGUGGGGUAGAAGCCUACCAAGGCGACGAUCAGUAGCCGGACUGAGAGGUUGAACGGCCACAUUGGGACUGAGAUACGGCCCAGACUCCUACGGGAGGCAGCAGUCGGGAAUAUUGCGCAAUGGAGGGAACUCUGACGCAGUGACGCCGCGUAUAGGAAGAAGGUUUUCGGAUUGUAAACUAUUGUCGUUAGGGAAGAAAAAAGACAGUACCUAAGGAGGAAGCCCCGGCUAACUAUGUGCCAGCAGCCGCGGUAAUACAUAGGGGGCAAGCGUUAUCCGGAAUUAUUGGGAGUAAAGGGUGCGUAGACGGGUGUUUAAGUUGGUUGUGAAAUCCCUCGGCUCAACUGAGGAACUGCAACCAAAACUGGAUAUCUUGAGUGUCGGAGAGGAAAGUGGAAUU